AAAUAUGAGAAUGCUAUACAGGCAGUCUUCUCAGGAGUCUUGGCUUCAGGGUUUUCUAGAGUCUUGUCUGCUUUCUUAAAGGAAGUGUCCAAGAAAGUUUGGACAGAUGUUCUCCAAGAAGAUGGGCAAAGCAGUGAACUUGUUUGCUGGCGUGGUGUCGCAUCGGAUCAAGCGUUGUAAAGUCGAAACUGACGUCAUAAAGUUGAAACAGGGUGUCAAUUUAUAAACGUUGUAAGAGCGAAAGGUUGUAACUCAAAACGUUGCAAGUGGAGGACUGCCUAUAUUAUGUACAAAUGCCAAAUAAUCAAUGCAGUACUGCCAUCUGUUGGCAGUUGUGAUUAGCAAUGCUGCAGAAGAAAUACUUGACAAUCUUGGAUAUGGUAUUUCAUUUAUCUUUGAACAGUCACAUAGAAUGUCUGUACACUAUUAAAGUAGCUACUACUUUCUCCUUUACAAGAAGGUUGUAUUUUAGUAGUGCCGUAUACUGUGUUAAAUCAGAGAAUAUCCUUUGUAGACCUGCGUUGCCACAAAACAGGCAAUAGAUGCAAGAAAGCAAAGCUAACUGAAGACCCAGAGCUACUAUCCAAAUGGCUUUGAUGCUUCUAUGGGUUUCCUCAGAAUCUGCUAUGUCUGGAGAUGAUUUCUACUCUCUUUUCUUUGUGAGAUGUCUAACAGAAUUAUCUGGACAGGAUCUCUGCAAAUGGUCACCAAAGGGAGAAAAGUCAGACAAGUAUGAAAGCAACAUGAAAAAGGACCAAGGAAGAAAGAGACAAAAAGAGCAUCACGCUAAGGAGGGAUGACAGACUUUAGGUGGAAACAAGAACUGAGAUGCAAGCAAGAGCACACUGAUGGAGCCCUGUAAAGGUAAGAAGUUCAAAUAUGAUGUGGGAAUGUAAAGAGCACCAGUAAGAGAUUCAAGGAGCUUGUAUCAAAUGGUCAGAGCAGUGAGACAUUAAUGCUGAUUUACCUGUCGUAUAUUGCAUAGUUUGGGAAGGAGUGGUUGGAGCCAGAGAGGCCAGAGAAGAGGGAGUUAAAAUAAUUCUGGUGCAAUUUCACAAGGGGAAAGAAUGAGUGAGAGUUUGGAUAAAUUAUGUAAGUCAAGGGUGUCAAAAAUGCAGCCUGCAGGCUGGAUCCAGCCUAUGGAGUCAUAUCAUAAAGCCCGCAGUACUAGCUGCUGCAUGCUACCUGCUUGCUGGGUCCAGGGCCGCUCUGGAUCAGGCCUGUAGAUGGGUUGUCCAUGUUGGCUUCAGCACACAUGACCUGUCUGGCCUGGGCGUCAUUUGCAGCAUUCACCCCAGCCCACCCCUGUGCAUCCUAGGCUGCACCAGGCUGGAGCCAGCACACACUACAAGCAGCAAGUGACUUACAUGCACUCAUGUGACUCUAGCCCUGUGUGCUGGAUCUGGGGCUGGUUUGGAUCAGUCCAAUAGACUGGAGCCGUAUGCCAAAUCCAGCAAGCAGGGCUGGUGUGGCAUGAGAUCCACAUACAGUGCACGCCCCAAACCAGUACUGUGUAUUGUGUGCUGUACUAUGCUGCAUGUGGGGCUGCAGUGGGGUGUGUGCUGCAUGUGGCACCAGCACCAGGCUGGUCCUGCACGUUGGUUCUGGGGCUGAUCUGCAACA
rnacentral:lncRNA from 1 species